rnacentral:rRNA from 1 species
CCUACGGGAGGCAGCAGUGGGGAAUCUUAGACAAUGGGCGCAAGCCUGAUCCAGCCAUGCCGCGUGAGUGAAGACGGCCUUAGGGUUGUAAAGCUCUUUCAGAUGUGAGGAUAAUGACCGUAACAUCAGAAGAAGCCCCGGCUAAAUUCGUGCCAGCAGCCGCGGUAAU